CGCCGCCGCCGCGCACCCUCCGCCCGCCCUCGCCGCGCUCCCUCCCGGCCCCGCCGACCAGCCCGCCUUGCCCAUCACGCACUCGGCAGAGGGGGCAACCGCCGCGGUCGCCAUCGCCGGGGGCCAGGCCCCAGAGACAACCCGGCCACCGUCUCCACGCUGCUGCCUCCUGCCCGGAGACUUCGGGUUGGAGGUCACCCCCUCCUCCCCACAUCCCAGCUUGCCGGAGACUAAGACCAACCUGCCUCCUAAAAUAAGCGAAUAGGGACCUCAUUAAAAAGAGAUGGAGAGAGUAACCCAGAAACAGCAGGAGGCUAGAAGUCAUGAAAGCACUGAAUUGCAUGUGGCCAGCCCUAAGGGCUACUGCAACAUCCACAUACCCUCCAGAGAGAAACCACCAGACCAGAGUAUUGACCAGCACAGAGAAGAAUGAAACAGAGGAAAGAGAGAGUGGAGAGUGGGAAAUAAAUGACAGUUAACAACAAUAUGGUCAUAUUGGAAUACCAAGAAGUUUUCCAUUACAAGACCACCAUCAGAUGACCUUUGAGCAGUAUGAUGUUUGUUAAUUUCAACAAUCCCAAUUCUUUUCACUUCUAAGCAUCUUUUCUGUCCAUUACCACAGUUUAGCUUUUACCAUUAAUAGAUUAGUCUAAUCCAUUAUUUCCUGAUUUCCCUACUUUUAGAUUGUUAACCUGCUUUCCUUUCUGGUGAAUUUUUCUAAAAUGCCCUUUUCAUCAUAUUAUUCCCAUGGACAUGAAUUAAUAAGGGAUUUGGUUCUCUAAGAAUGAAAUCCAAAUCUUAUAACUUGAAACUAGGAUGUAGUAUAAAAUACAAUGGAUCUGAAGUCAGAAGACCUAUGUUCAAAAAUUGUCAUAUUGAUUUUCUGGCUGUCUGUGUACCCAAGAGUGAGAGGACAAAUCAUUUAACUUCUCAGGGUCUCUCAAUUUCCUCAUGUGUAAAAUGGGCAUGAUAAUGGUUGUGAUUUCUAUCUCUUUAUCUAAAUAUGAACUAUUCUUAUAAUAAUAAUCUAAUAUGCAAACCCUCUAUAAUAAAGUCUUCCUUCUUAAAUUUAUCUUA